AGAAAAUUCACGUAGAAACUGAAGAGCAGAAAGAGGAACCGAGGGUCUGAAGGCUAGUUUCAACCAAGAGAAAAACACCAGAAUUAAGGUCCUGUUAGAUCCGUGAAAUUCGACCGAGUGGAGUAUUUAGAGCUCUCUUCAAUCCAAUCAGGUAAUCAAGGAGAGUAGCCGUUAUCGUUUAGUUCGUGAGGGUGUCAUUGCUCUGAUACGUAGCACUCGGGGAUAAUGAACGCUUGAAUGAUUUCUUUUGUUGUUUCAGUUGUUUUAUUUUAAAAGAAUUGUGUUGAUUAUGUUGUUUAUUUUGAAAGAUGCUACGAUGGUUUGAGUUUUCGUUAAUGUUGGAAUUAUGUUGAAUAAUCCGCUGCGUGGUUUU